UGAAAUACCACCCUUUAAUGUUUGAUGUUCUAACGUUGACCCGUGAUCCGGGUUGCGGACAGUGUCUGGGGGGUAGUUUGACUGGGGCGGUCUCCUCCUAAAGAGUAACGGAGGAGCACGAAGGUUGGCUAAUCCUGGUCGGACAUCAGGAGGUUAGUGCAAUGGCAUAAGCCAGCUUGACUGCGAGCGUGACGGCGCGAGCAGGUGCGAAAGCAGGUCAUAGUGAUCCGGUGGUUCUGAAUGGAAGGGCCAUCGCUCAACGGAUAAAAGGUACUCCGGGGAUAACAGGCUGAUACCGCCCAAGAGUUCAUAUCGACGGCGGUGUUUGGCACCUCGAUGUCGGCUCA
rnacentral:rRNA from 1 species